ACGUGUGCUGUGCGAAAGAAGAACGGUUGAAUUUCGCGUCGUCAAUGUUCUUGAAACGCGCAGCAGUAUCACGUUCUGCAUCAGAUACUUAAUGAUCGAAUGAUCGAAUCUCAGCGCGAAAAUUAUCAUCAAGUCAAGCGGUUAUCGCACGAUUUUAUUCAUGAAAUGAUAAUGGGAGUAAAGAUUAUCAAAAUACAUACGUCGCAAUCAUACCAUUUCUUUCGCUCUUGUUUUGUUUGUGUGAACUUCCCGCGAAUCAGGAAAUGAGGGAUAAAAUUUCUCCGGUGAAUAGAUCGUAAACUGCCGACAUUCCUUGUCCUGUGAAAUACGUGGAAAGAUUUGUCUAAUGAGAGACAAAGAGGAAGAGAAAUGUGAAACUGAGGAUGAGAGUGAGAAACCAUGCAAGAAAGAGACAGAAUUAUUAUACGUCAUGAAGUGAUGAAGCACGUUAACGAAACCGACGAUUCUACGGCGCACGCUUGUUGAGGCGUAAGAUUCGGCGGUGAACACGUGGUCUCAUGGAAAAAUAUGCAUCUACUUGGUAUCAACAUUUGUUCGUCUAAAAAUUAAGAAAAAAAAAUAUAAUGAAGAAGAAAUUUAAAUAAUUUAUCCUUUAAAGCGU